rnacentral:snRNA from 1 species
CGCACUUCUCGCGUACCGCAAAA